UACAGAGGGGGCAAGCGUUGUUCGGAAUUACUGGGCGUAAAGGGCGCGUAGGCGGCCCGCUAAGUCGAACGUGAAAUCCCCGAGCUCAACUCGGGAACUGCGUCCGAUACUGGUUGGCUUGAGUGCAGGAGAGGAACGCGGAAUUCCAGGUGUAGCGGUGAAAUGCGUAGAUAUCUGGAGGAACACCGGUGGCGAAGGCGGCGUUCUGGACUGCAACUGACACUGAGGAACGAAAGCCAGGGUAGCAAACGGG
rnacentral:rRNA from 1 species